UACAUAUAGCACGCAACAAAAAGAAAUAUACAUAAUCUUGUAAUAUAAGCAAAAAGAGAGGACGACAUUGAAGGUGAUGGAUCGAUUCUAAAGAUGCAGCGAGCGGCACCCAACCAUGAAGGUCUCGGCUGCGUGCUUGUGAUGAUGUGCUAGGGCUAAAGAGACAUGGUACAUACUAUAUUAUUAUUAUGUGUUUCCUCUUUAUUACUAAAAAUGGACCCAUGCAUGAGGCUUAAUUAAUUAGAGACAAAUGACUCAUGAAAACCUUUACUGAUUACAUUUUUUAGCUAGACGGUGUAAUAAGCAAACACAUGAACAUAAUUACUCGGAGAUCAACAGCACAUCCUCCGGACACCUACCCCAAAUUAGCUAUUAGCUAGCUAUAAUAGCUGUCCAGCAAAACAGAAUUUUUGUCUAUCCAAGCUUAACAACAUGUCAUGUCUAUAACCCACCUAUGAGCAUUUCCUGUCCGCCAACAUACACCUGAAUUAUGGACCAUCAAUCCACGUGAUCCAACGGCCCAUUUUUCCACUCCACUUUAUCCAAUUUAUUUGGGCAUAUCCUAAAUUUAUGUUAAUUGAUUCCAUAUGACCCAACGACCCAUUUCUCCACACCAUUUAGUUUAUCUUGAUUGAUCAUGACCCACUUGUAGGAUUAGGCCAUAGCCUAUAUAGACAUGUCCUAAAUUUUGGGUUGUCAAAUCAUGUGAUCCAGCAGCCCAUUUCUCCACCCCACUUCUUUUCUCUUGAUCGAUCAUGAUCAUCCCAUUAGGAUCCCACCAUAUAGCUUAUUGGGCAUGUCAUAAAUUUCGGGUCAUUGAUUCCAUGUCACCGAACAAACCAUUUCUGCACCCAACUUCUUUUCUCGAUCAUUCAUGACCCUCCCAUAGGAUUUGACCAUUGCCUAUUUGGGCAUGUCCUAAGUUUUGGGCUAUCAAUUCAUGUGAUCCAAUGGCCCAUGUCUCUAUCCCACUUCUUUUCUAGAUUGAUCAUGAUCCUCUCCCUUUGGGCAAGCCCUGAAUUAUGGGCCAAAUUCAUUUGAUCCAGCGGCCCAUCUAUUUCCUUGCCCAACCUCAAUCCAAACUUUUCUCUCGAGCGACCGUCCCGUAGGAUCCAACCAUAGCCUAUUUGGGCAUGUCGCAAAUUUUGGACCACAUGCGAUCCAACUGCCUCCCCCCCCCCCCCUCCCCCCCCCCAACACUUCUUUUCUCAAUGGAGCUACUGAGCUUUUCCUAAAUUUGGGCCAUCAAUUCAUGUGAUCCAAUAGCCCAUUUUACACAAGUUUAACCUAAUCUUUCUCCCCAUCGAUCCCCACCCUCCCAUUUCGCCACCACCACCCACAACUCACCGGUACCCGACACCAACAAACAACCCCAAAGCUUCUGUCCUCAUCAACAUUACCUAAUUGCUUGACUAUUGCGACCUUCUCCAUGGUUCC
rnacentral:lncRNA from 1 species